UACGUAGGGUGCAAGCGUUAAUCGGAAUUACUGGGCGUAAAGCGUGCGCAGGCGGUUUUGUAAGACUGUCGUGAAAUCCCCGGGCUCAACCUGGGAAUGGCGAUGGUGACUGCAAGGCUAGAGUUUGGCAGAGGGGGGUAGAAUUCCACGUGUAGCAGUGAAAUGCGUAGAUAUGUGGAGGAACACCAAUGGCGAAGGCAGCCUUCUGGGCCAACACUGACGCUCAUGCACGAAAGCGUGGGGAGCAAACAGG
rnacentral:rRNA from 1 species